CAGCAAAACACAUUCACUCAGGCAAUAGAAACUGUCUGGGAUUGUAACCACGGUCCACUUUAUGCUUUGAACAUAGCCCUGCUGCUCUGCCACUGAAAGUGAUUUUUAAAAUGAUGUGUUUCUCUCUCUUCCUCUUUCCCUGCUCUUUCCUGAUCUCUCCCCCUUCCUGAUCUAAGAAGAAACGGAAUUACCUUUCUUCCCCACCCUAGGCUGGGUUAUCUGUCCUUUGAGGACUCACCCACCGCCGCAGGAAAGAAGUAAUCCAGACUUUGGGGAUGGUACCAGAAGACCUCAGAAAUGGCUAUUUCCCAAAUUAACACGUGAAUUCCCAACUCCAACAGAGAGCAUGUGAAAUGCAGCCUUUGAGUCACCUCUACAAAAGCCCCCUCACAGCCUCUGGGACAGGAGUGCCCCGUGGUUCACCUUUGCUAGCAAAGCAAUCAACUUUCUUUCUCCCUUUUCUCAAAAUGGUGUUAUUAUUGGACCAGCACCCGGGACAAGGACCGAGAUUUCCACCACAGGAUGUUGUCCCAGUGUUGGAGACUCUAGGACUUGAAGAAAUAAACGACAGAAAGAUGGCAACUCACAUCACAUAAAGAAUACUGAUGGGAAGAAAGACAGAGCCGGAGGAAGAACCCGGCGGGGCGCCUUGUUUCUGGUCUGGCACGGGAGGGUCACUCCAUCAAAACAGGUAAACACUGAACAACAGAAAAUCGACAAUUUCUUAGAUCUGCCAGAGAAUCAAGGUCACGGGCAAGCCGCUGCUCUCCAACACUGGAGGGGCAGACUGGCAGGUACG
rnacentral:lncRNA from 1 species